GGGUGAGUAACACGUGGAUAACCUACCUAUAAGACUGGGAUAACUUCGGGAAACCGGAGCUAAUACCGGAUAACAUGUUGAACCGCAUGGUUCAACAGUGAAAGACGGUCUUGCUGUCACUUAUAGAUGGAUCCGCGCCGCAUUAGCUAGUUGGUAAGGUAACGGCUUACCAAGGCAACGAUGCAUAGCCGACCUGAGAGGGUGAUCGGCCACACUGGAACUGAGACACGGUCCAG
rnacentral:rRNA from 1 species